rnacentral:rRNA from 1 species
GGCAGGCCUAACACAUGCAAGUCGAGCGGCCCGUAGCAAUACGGCAGCGGCAGACGGGAGAGUAACACGUGGGAACGCGCCCUUCGGUCCGGGAUAACCCAGGGAAACUUGGGCUAAUACCGGAUACGCCCUUACGGGGAAAGAUUUAUUGCCGAAGGAACGGCCCGCGUCCGAUUAGCUAGUUGGUGAGGUAACGGCUCACCAAGGCGACGAUCGGUAGCUGGUCUGAGAGGAUGACCAGCCUCACUGGGACUGAGACACGGCCCAGACUCCUACGGGAGGCAGCAGUGGGGAAUAUUGGACAAUGGGCGCAAGCCUGAUCCGGCCAUGCCGCGUGGGUGAUGAAGGCCCUAGGGUUGUAAAGCCCUUUCAGCGGGGAAGAUAAUGACGGUACCCGCAGAAGAAGCCCCGGCUAACUUCGUGCCAGCAGCCGCGGUAAUACGAAGGGGGCUAGCGUUGCUCGGAAUUACUGGGCGUAAAGCGCACGUAGGCGGCUUUCUAAGUCGGGGGUGAAAUCCUGGAGCUCAACUCCAGAACUGCCUUCGAUACUGGAAAGCUCGAGUCCG